ACGGUGACGUGGACUGUUCAAGGUGCCCUUGCAAUAAUUGUUCCUGCACCAACUGUAGGGCCGCUUGAACCUUUUCUUGAGGCAUGGACCACUGAUCGAUCCAGACUGGGUCAUCUGACUUCCAAGAUACUUGAUCAGUCUGGAGUGCAGGAGGAACAUCAGUCUCUAUGAAAAAAGGUCAGGAGCUUUGAACUUUGAAGUGUAUCCUGUGUUUGGCCUAUCCCUUUUAAAUGUGUGGCGGUAGCUUUAAGGGGCCAGGUUGAGGGCCACUGUCUAGAAGAGAGCACCUUUGCAAACGCCCCCGUAUCUAAAAGGCCCUGAAACUGUUUGCCAUCGAGCCAAAGAGACAUCAUGGGUCUUUUAUCAGUUAACUUUUGAACCCAAUAGACAUCUGAAGAGCCCGGGAAGGAGGAACCACGUCCUUCUUCCAUGGUGACCAGAAUCUCCGGUUUUUUGGAACACAGCCCCGAUCGCCAGACUAAUAGACUUGGAUACGUGAUGUGAGAAGGAAUCGACAUCAUUGCAAAGUUUAAUCAUUCCCGGAAUAUCAAGGUCUUGCCUUUGGUCUUGCCUCGCAGUGCGGCUCUGCACGCUGAGUUAGUGUUCUCAAGAGCCAGUUGUCUAACGAGGAGCCCCUCACUUUCGCUUUGACCUAAGAUUCUUUCAGCUGCUUUUUGUAGUCU
rnacentral:sRNA from 1 species